UACGUAGGAGGCGAGCGUUGUCCGGAUUUACUGGGCGUAAAGCGCGCGCAGGCGGCACUGUAAGUAAGGUGUGAAAUCUCCCUGCUCAACGGGGAGGGUGCAUUUUAGACUGCAGAGCUAGAGGACGGUAGAGGGGGGUGGAAUUGCUGGUGUAGCGGUGAAAUGCGUAGAGAUCAGCAGGAACACCCGUGGCGAAGGCGGCCCCCUGGGCCGAACCUGACGCUGAGGCGCGAAGGCUAGGGGAGCGAACGGG
rnacentral:rRNA from 1 species